rnacentral:rRNA from 1 species
CGGGACGGGUGAGUAAUGUCUGGGAAACUGCCUGAUGGAGGGGGAUAACUACUGAACGGUAGCUAAUACCGCAUAACGCCGCAAGACCAAAGAGGGGGACCUUCGGGCCUCUUGCCAUCGGAUGUGCCCAGAUGGGAUUAGCUAGUAGGUGGGGUAACGGCUCACCUAGGCGACGAUCCCUAGCUGGUCUGAGAGGAUGGCCAGCCACACUGGAACUGAGACACGGUCCAG